AGUGAAUUGUAGUCGCUGCAGUGACUCUGUUGCGCAGCAAUCUACAUUCUUUGCAAGACCCCAGGGCCUCGGCUGCAGGCGUGGGAGGAACAUUCCCGCUGCUCCCCGAGAGACUCUCCCAGUGCAGAGACCCCAGCCUGUCCCACUCCCCCUUACUGGGACCCAGAGCCCUUCUCCCAGGCAGAACCCCACGUGGAGAGAAGGCUCCAGAAUAACAACCCCAUUUUGCUCCAGAUCAUCCCAUCCUUCCAGGGUCCGGAGCAGGGAAAUGGCUGUGGUGGAUCCUGCUCAGGUGCCAGUGACCUUCGAGGAGGUAGCUGUGUAUUUCACUGCUGGG